GAAGAAGCCUAAGUUUGGAUUUGGAAGCACUAUUAAGAAUGGAACUUCUCUGACCAAAACAAAGUCAUUUCUGGGUAAAAUAGGAUGAUAUAAACCGAACAUUUCAUUGUUAUCGAUCACCUCAGUUAGCUCGAUGACAUACAUCCUCGUCAGAUGUUUGGCUCGGGUUGGAAUCAUCGAAGAAGAGUCUGAAGAUGAAGAUACCUACGCGUGAUAGGAACCGG
rnacentral:misc_RNA from 1 species